CACAGUCAAGUAAGCUCUGUCUCAAGGACACAGAUGCUCAGCGAGGCCCCGGGGAUGCAUGCUUUUGUUCCUGGAACUGUCUCUCUUCCCUCUAGAGUUUAGGCAAUUUUCAAAUUUCAAAGGCUUCUGAAGGGCUUAAGAAAGUACCACAGCUAAUGAGGAAGGAAGAGCCUGACUUACAGUCAAGCAGACAGGGAUCAUCUGUCUGGAAGAUUCCCUCAGAGAUGGUAGAGACAGGUGUCUGCUGAAGUUUGGAGGCCUGGAAGGAGGUGGCUCCCAGACAAUGGGAACACUUGCCCACCCACGCCCCGGAAAGUCUGCCUCAGACAGGUUCCUGCAGGAGCCGGCAAAUACACUUCCCUCCCUCUACCACCCACUUCCUUUCUAGCCUCCCCGGGAUCCUCCCUCAGUCCUCCCCAGAGUCAGGAAUGAGAUCCUUCCUCCAUCUCUGUGUGCCAAGGGCCCUGCUGAAACUCGCUGGCUCACCAGACAGAACUUCCAAGGAAUCAUACUUUCAUUAAACAUUCCAGCCAGUGUCUCUUUUGUUAGGAAUUAGCCAUUCCAGCCAUAAAUGAUGAAAAUAGACAGAGGAGCCCCUGAGCCACAGCAGUGGUAUUGGAGGGUUCCCACCCCACAGCCAGGGUCUGGCUGCCUGAGCAAUUUGCCUCUUCACCUGCAAUGUUCCCAGCGACCUUUCCUGGACGAAAUCUCCCUGUGACUCUCCAGCCAGCUCCCCAGACUAAUCCUUCCCCAGCUAGCCCAUCUGAUCUCUUCUGGCAGACUCAGACACACAGCCACAUGCCACAAAACAACCCUGCUCAUCGCCAUCUGUCGUCACCAGCCAGGCUUUUCAGAAUCUAAAAAGCUCAAGGUUGGAGGCAGGAACAGAGAAGUGGAGCACAUUUGGCAACAAGACCCAGUUGGAGCUACAAUUACUUUUAAAACACUGGCAGUACUUAGUCCGUGCAGACGUUAGACUUCUCUUCGCCGAGCUCUAUGUUUGGCUGCAAAAAUAUUAAGGUUCCCAGACCUCUUUUCACUGUGGACUUGAACCCAGAGAGGCAAGCAGAGUCCAACAGGAAGAAGGAGAAGAGAGUGAAGCGGAGAGGAAGUAGGGAAGGGAGUCACAGAAGAUGUUCCCAAGCAACUUAAGGAAGGGAUUGAUUUUCACUCACCAUUGGAGAGGAAUCCAGUUCACUGUGGUGAUGAAGGCACAGUCACAGGUGACGGGCAGCAGGAAAGUGCUCUUGGAAUAACUCACGUCCUCUCAGAGGCCAGGCAGAAAGCAAGACUAGGCUAUUAGCUUCAAGCCCUGGUGACCCGCUGGAGCAGGAGAGCUCCAUCUCCUCAGGGUUUGACUACCCCAACACAGCUCCAUCUGCUGGCCACUGAGAUGUUCAGACAUGUGAGCCUGUGAGGGGAUAGUUCCCAUCCAGCCUGAAAAUACCCCGAGUGGCUGAUCACCU